GACGAACGCUGGCGGCGUGCCUAAUACAUGCAAGUAGAACGCAGUUGCGAACGGGUGAGUAACGCGUAGGUAACUGCCUCAUAGCGGGGGAUAACUAUUGGAAACGAUAGCUAAUACCGCAUACAGUUAGCUGGACCUGCGUUGUAUUAGCUAGUUGUGGAGGUAAAGGCUCACCAAGGGGACGAUACAUAGCCGACCUGAGCGGGUUGUCGUGCAAACUGGGACUGAGACAAGGCCCAGACUCCUACGGGAGGCAGCAGUAGGGAAACUUCGGAAAUGGAGGGAAGUCUGACCGAGCAACGCCGCGUGAGUGAAGAAGGUUUUCGGAUCUUAAAGCUCUGUUGUUAGAGAAGCGGUAACUACCCAGAAAGGGACGGCUAACUACGUGCCAGCAGCCGCGGUAAUUC
rnacentral:rRNA from 1 species